UGUUUGCUGGGGUGCAGGGUGCUGGCGGGCACCCCUACCCCACAGUAUUGGGGUGUGCAGGAGCAGCAGGUGCUGGCUCAGCAAUUCCCCUGCUCUGAACUCCUUUGGGAGCUGGAUGUGCCCAGUCCUGCUCCCCUGGCCCUGCCGUGACCCGCAGUGAGGUUUGGAACAGACAGAGCCCCAGCAGCGCUGGCAGGAUGGGUGAUGCAGAGGUCACAUGUGAUGAUGUUACUUGUGCUGUUGCAUAAAUCAAGAGGAUUUUGGUGAGGGUAACGAGGGCAACUUGGGGCUCUGAGCUGGGCAGGAUGAGGCCUUGGAAGACUAAUUUCCCAUGUUGCACAGUCCAAGGGUGGGGUGUAUGGCCAGAUUUGGACCACAGAGGACCAUGGGGUCAGUCAGAGGGUGGCCCACGCUGAGGAGAGAGGUGGGCUGCAGUUCCCUCUGCCAGGCUCUCACCCCUCUGCCAGCUUUGCUUAAUUAUGGGAAAUCCUUUAAGCUUUCGCAUUAGUGCUGUAUUUAGGUCUGCACUGUAUUAGGGCUUGGCGUGGGGAGCAGAGUCAGUUUUCUCACUUAAUAAAGAAUGUUUUUAAGGCAUUUGUCAUUGUGGGCCCAGUGCUGUGAGCCAGGACGCUGGGGUGAGCAGGGUGGGUGCUGUGGGAGGUGAAGGUGCUGGGUUGGCUCUGUGACCUGCCACACUUGGCCCUGAACAGGUCCCAUCCCUUCCUGUAUCCUGCCAUGCAUUACCCUGCCCUCCCACCCUGAGCCUUGGGACAGACGGACUGGGUCUGCCUCGAUUACCCACCCAGCCGGGGGUACCUCAGGUUGUGCAUCCCGGGGCCGCAGCUGCUGACCUCCCAGCCCAUCUGCAUCAGCACAGCUGCUGGCAGAGCCCAGACACCCUCCCACAAGGCUCCAGGGCUGCUGUGCUGGCAGGAGGCCCAUCCUGCUGGCAGUAAAUGUGUGAUGGGAUGGUGAUCAGGGAUAAUGAGUCACGAAUGCCCACCGCUAGCCAGCCAGCCAGCCCGGCCGGUCCUGGGGCAGGGGUGCAGAGCACUGGCAGGAGAGGGGAGAGAUCUGCUGCCUCCCUUCUCUUCUGCCUCCCCCCACCUGCAGCCUCAUCGACCUGCAACUUCCACAGGGCACCAAAUGAUGGAGCAUCCCUCUGGCAGCACUCACACAGGACUGAGGCGACAGGUCUGCUCCCCUGGACCAGUGUAGGGGUGCAGUGGUCCCCCCAUAUCCCUGCUCACAGGUACCUGGCACUGCCACAGCUCUGCCCCCUGCUGUGGGACAGCUUGCCAAGGAUGGGACUAGAGGGCUGCCUGCCGAAAUGUGUAUCCCCUGGACUGCAAGUAGGUGAAGUUGGGGCUGGGCCAGCUCAGGGUAUGCUGCUGGGAGCCAGGAGAAGCAUCCGGGUUCCUCUUUCAGUGUGGAUUUUUCCUUUAAUCUCUUAAUUGUUGAGGCACCAGAGUAUUAGAUCCAGAUAUUGAGCUGCUGCUGCUGGUGGUGGCUAUGGCAAAUGCCCAUGCUCUCAUGGAGGGAACAGCUCAGCCCUUGGCUUGUGGGCAGGUGAGGAGCACUAGAGUGCUUUCCCUCCCUGCUUGGCCCCAUGAGUGGCACUUGAGCACUUUGCUCCUUGUCUCCAAACUGAGCCCUGCAGCCAUGCAAGGACCCUGUCCCAGAGAAAGCCAGGCUUCUGCACCAGACCAUGGCUGCUGAACAAAGGAAGGGUGACAAGCAACGUCCCUGGGCAAGCCCAGUGUGAGUGCACGUGGUUGGGGACUCAGCCCUGGCCUCUGGCAGCUGCCUUCCUUCUUCCCCUUCUCCCCAGACCUCUGCAGUGAGCAGGAAAAACAACAUUUUCUGGGAUUGCUGUGGAUCUGCUACAGAACCAACCCCAGGAGCAAAAGCAGCCCCAGCACAUCUCUCCCAAAAGCACUGCUGGGGUCCCCAGGGAGGGCCCCAGCCCCAGCCAGAAAUCAUUAGGUGGGGAAAGCUUUUAUUUUCUUUCCAUCUUUUCCUUCUCCAGGGCUGGGCUUGAUUAUUCCUUUCAGCAACACAAAGUGCUAGAGAGGCUCAGCAGCCAGAGAUCAAUUUUUUCUGCUCCUGACGCAAUGUCUCUGUGCAUGGGGAAGUGGCUUUUUCCUUCCCCUCCGCAUCCUGCUGAGACUUGGUGGGUGACACCAGGGGCGGUGGCAGCUGCCUUGCUGGCAGGAGGGUGACAGGGAACCCUGUGGAGCCACACAGCCCGGCCCUGUGCCAGCCGUCACCCGGUGCAGUGCUGAUGGAGGGCGUCAAAACCUUUCACUCAGGGCCACUGAAGAGCAAAGCUAUUGCUGGGAAAAAAAUCACAGCUCGGCUCAGACAUCAGUGCCAUUUCAAGGCACAGGACCCUCAGCUGCUGGCUCUGCUCCUGCUGUGACGUCCCUUCUCAGUCACCACGAGGCACUGGCUAAUGGAGGAUGAUUUUCUUUCUAGGGAACGUGAAAAAUUCGUCUCUGCAGGCCUAAUAUGUGAAGACCUCAUGUUUAAGUGAUUGGAACAUAGCGGUGGCACAAGGGAGAAGCUGCCACAUGUAUUGGUGAUUUGGCAAGGUCAAACCUGAGGAUAGUUCUGCCCUCUCAGCUUUGCAGAAGUUCAUGGAAGGCGGUACCCAAGGAGACUGUGCCAUGCUGGCAUCAUGUUGUGCAUGUGGAGGACAGGCCAGGAUUACAGCAGCUCGGACUGUGAAGGGCAGCGAGGAGAUAGCUCGACAUCAGGAGAAAACAGGAAGAUAAAUGACCCGUGAAACCGCAUUUCUGGCUGCAUCACCAGCUUCCUCACAGGGAGCAGUGACUCAUCACCACACCGAGACAUGGAGACUCGCUCGCCCGCCCCAGGGCAGGAUGCUGAUCCUGCAGCAGCAUCAGAGGGGAUGACCAGGGGAGAGGGCUGCUGCAGGGACAAGGGGCUGCAGGCAGUGAGUGUGGCAGGGUGUAGGAACAGCAUCUUCCUCUGUGCUGCUGCUCAGCAGCAACAACCAGCUCCUGGGCCAAGCUCUUCUAAAUGGCUGGUGAUCUGGUACCGUGCCUGGGAUGCUUCUCCUCCUAGAAAUCCCAGUAAUUUCCUUGUAUCAAUUAUAUUUCAGUGCAGUCCCACUUCUGCCUCAAAAUCAGUAAUUGCUUUGGAAAAUGUCCUUUGCCUUCUUUUUAAGUGCCAGCAUGCCUUUUGUUGCUCCUAAAGUAACAGCUGAAUACUGAGGAAUGGCAGAAAAUAUGAAAUGUCUGAGAAAGGUCCUCAGGAUUUGCCUCUGAGUCAUCUCUGCGCUGGCAGGAAAAGCUGGCAAAGAAGAAGAGUAUCUCUGCGGGUUGUGAAACAGCCCAAGAAUUAGGAGUCUGGGCCAGGUGGACACAUCCACUAUAACCUGGUGGGGCUGAGAUCAAAAGCUGUCAUUUGAGUUACGUGACUGGUGUGACAGGACCUCCUUGAAUGAGGUGUGAGCAGUCCCCAGUGCUCCAGCAGCCAUUCCAGCCCCCAGGAGCCAGUCCCUGCCCUGCAGCUUACACGCUGAACACCAUAAGGCACGGUAAGUGGAUUAGCAAAACCUCUGGAAGAGAGGAAGAAGAAAUGACAUUUGGUCUUAAGCUGGUUUUGCACGUAUUUACGCAAAUGAUGUGCCCAUCUAGACGGUAAGUGAGGUGAAAUCCAGGCUACCCCUGCUGCCCCGGCUCAGCAGCCUGCUGCAGGGCUCCUGGCAGGGAAGAGCCUGGUUUGUAUCUCGGGCAGACACAGUGAGUCAGAGCUGCGAGCCGAUCGAUGCUGACAGCUGGGACAGCCUGCGAGAGGCGGCAGCAGCCGGGCAGCAUCCAUGCUCUGGCUGUGGUGGGGAGGCUUUGGUGGCUGGGGAGGUGCUGCAGCCCCACACUGGCAUCCACAGGAGAUGCUCCAGUCUCCUCACUCCCCCCAGAGCUUGAGGAUGCUCUUCCAUCACCUCCCGGGGCUGGCUCUGCAGGGCAGGGCACUGCCCGCUCCUGUUCCUGCCCCCUUGUUGGGCACAGCACCAGGCAGGAUCCAUCUCUCCCACUGGUGAGAUGGGGAUUGCAAUUAUUACUGGCCCUUGCUUGUGCCAUCUGUCUGUUCUCUGAAGAUCCCUGCAGGAUCUCUGUCUUAGCAGGUUAAUUUAAUAAGGGCCUGCUUUAUUGUUGCUGGCUGCGGGCAUGGCGUAGAGCAGCUGAGUCCAUCAGCAGAGCUGCUCUGGCAGCAAUCGAAUCCUGCCCGGAUGCUCAUUUGGGAGGGUUGUUUUGCUGGGAAAGGGCAAACCCUCCUGGGGCAGCACCGAGGGCUGAGCCCUGCUCCUUUCUCCUUGGCAGGAGCAGUGGAGAAAGUGGCAGCAGAGAUUAAAUCAGGUCUUUGACCUGGGACGUGCCACACCUCACCGGGAUGAGGUGGUGAUAGGGAGUGGCAGCGGCGGUAUCGGCAGGAGGUGCCCUGUGUGGCUGGCUCAGGGCUUGGCCAUUUAUGGCAGAAGCAGCUAUUCCCAUCCGGAGUUUCAAAACCUUUUACAUCACCAGCUAUUUUUGCGGGUCGGGAUGUGUGGUGGGGCAGAAGGCGGUGAAGGAGCUGUGCGAAGAGUUUGAUGAAGGGAACGACUCCUCUUAAGGACAACAAACAACCUGGUGCACCUUGAGAUCAGUCUUUUUUUUUUUUUUCUCUUUUUUUUUUUUUUUCUCCCCAGCUCUAGAUACGUAUGAUGCUCAGGUAUAAAGUGCUGUAAGUUGGGAAAUAAAUCUUGGGAAUACAAAUUGAUACUCACUAUGUACCCACAGGAAAAAAUAUCCAGUUUCUCAAACCCGUGCCCACCUGCCUGGGCUUUUCCCCCAGCCCGGGAGGGAGGCUUUGCUGGUUAAGUCGAUUGCACAGAAAUGUGUUUGGCUUUUCUCCCGCUGUGCUCUUUGCCCCGUUCCUCUCCCGUAGUUCCUCUACCCAUCACAAACAUAAAGGACCAGCAGUGCCACAAAGACACGCACAUAAUGAAUCUAAGUGACCGUGUAAUCUCAUUAUUGUCACCCUCAUCCUCCCUUGCCCCUUUCCUCCCUCCCCCCAUUUGUCACUGUCACCGAUUGUGUCAUGGUUAAAAUUAGAUGGGAAGCUCCUCUGGGAGCAACCACGGCUUUCCUUUAUCCCGAGCACCAAGUGCAUUGCAACUACUCGUGAGUUCUAAUGGGGUUGAAGUAGGAGGCAGCCCGUUUUAAUGCUCACCUUUUUACAUUUUCGAGCUGAUUCACCAACCACACGAAAAUCCCCCAUCCAGGCAUAGCCACCUCAUUCCAGCAAUUCACUUGACAACACAAUUUUGGAGGCAGUGGCAAAGGAAGGAGAGGGGUUAUUGCUUACAUGUAAUAAAGAAGAAUCAAAUUUGGUGUAACUUAAGUAAGAUUUGUUCUGGAGGAUAAAAACCGUUACCGAGCUUUUCCCAUAAUGGACAUAUUCUCUUACUGGAAAGAAACUGAAUAAAAUAACGCUGUUUGUGAAAACAGCCACAA